rnacentral:rRNA from 1 species
UACAGAGGGUGCGAGCGUUAAUCGGAUUUACUGGGCGUAAAGCGUGCGUAGGUGGUCUUUUAAGUCGGAUGUGAAAUCCCUGAGCUUAACUUAGGAAUUGCAUUCGAUACUGGGAGACUAGAGUAUGGGAGAGGAUGGUAGAAUUCCAGGUGUAGCGGUGAAGUGCGUAGAGAUCUGGAGGAAUACCGAUGGCGAAGGCAGCCAUCUGGCCUAAUACUGACACUGAGGCACGAAAGCAUGGGGAGCAAAC